rnacentral:rRNA from 1 species
UGGAAGUAAAAAGUCGUAACAAGGUCUCCGUUGGUGAACCAGCGGARGGRWCAUUACCGAGUUAUACAACUCAUCAACCCUGUGAACAUACCUAAAACGUUGCUUCGGCGGGAACAGACGGCCCUGUAACAACGGGCCGCCCCCGCCAGAGGACCCCUAACUCUGUUUUUAUAAUGUUUUUCUGAGUAAACAAGCAAAUAAAUUAAAACUUUCAACAACGGAUCUCUUGGCUCUGGCAUCGAUGAAGAACGCAGCGAAAUGCGAUAAGUAAUGUGAAUUGCAGAAUUCAGUGAAUCAUCGAAUCUUUGAACGCACAUUGCGCCCGCCAGUAUUCUGGCGGGCAUGCCUGUUCGAGCGUCAUUACAACCCUCAGGCCCCCGGGCCUGGCGUUGGGGAUCGGCGGAAGCCCCCUGUGGGCACACGCCGUCCCUCAAAUACAGUGGCGGUCCCGCCGCAGCUUCCAUUGCGUAGUAGCUAACACCUCGCAACUGGAGAGCGGCGCGGCCAUGCCGUAAAACACCCAACUUCUGAAUGUUGACCUCGAAUCAGGUAGGAAUACCCGCUGAACUUAAGCAUAUCAAUAAGCGGAGGAA